GUGAGUAAAGGGCACCUACAUUUUGAGGUACAAUGCAGGAAACUGUGGUAGCACUUGAGAAUAAAUAAAAAUAUCAAAAUAACUUGAAUAUAUUUCUGGUUAAAUUUCUUUCUUUCUCUAAAUUUAUAUAAUGACCAAUGACUGCGUAAGUUUUACUGGGACUGUGGGUGAGAGAUCAGCAAUCUCACAACAUCAGAACAUAUCAGAAUAUUUGAGCCGAACAAGAAGCAAGUAUGUGUGUGGAUAAAUUACCCGUCAAGGUGACUGUAGGAACACCCUCCAUCAUGCUCGGGCUCAUUGGGCUCAUAUGCAUUCCUGAACUAGAAGAGAAAGUAUGAUAUCCUAUACAUACUAUAGAGUAAACACAUAUUAUAAAUCAGUUAACUGUUAUGUUACUUCACAUGUGGUAAUGCCGCGGAGAAAGGUGAUACCAGAAGAAAUAUGUCAGGGGUGGCAUAGAGAGGAGUGUGAGCUGCAACACACUUAGCUUACACCAAGUCAAGUAAAAGGCUGAAUACCUCAGACUUAAUGCACUAGAUUGAUAUUAAACCAAAGUAAACCAGUGACACAAAGAAACACAGGUGUAUUUACUCAAACUGCACAAUUUUAAAAGUCACAAAGAAACUGAAAGAAAUAAGCCGUCAUGAAUCUGAAGUCCUUCUCCUGGUAGUUAACUGCCUGAAGCUUGUGUGCUCACAUACAAAAUGGAAAUUUGAACAUUUAUGUCCAGAGUAACUUCCAUGUGCAGGUCAACUGCUGUUUUCAAGCUCACAACUAAACUACAAAUCCAAAUCUUUUUCACAUAUUUAGGAAAUUUCCAUUUUUUCGGAGGAAUUCAAGGGCGUUACAUCUUUUGUUGGCUUAAAAGUUGAGGCUGAAAGAGAUGUUUCUUAGCCAUCGAGGGUGAGGUCAUCUUCAAAAUGUUCAGAAAGUAAUUGAAACUUGAACACACACAGUUGCGUGACAACAGUGAAAACUCUACCUGCGGAGGAAGGUUGUGUGAAGUGAUCGAAAGCUCCAGAACAGCUAAGGAGUGGACCUUGUGUUGAGAUUGUGUAGACGUUAUUAAUGUCAAGACUGACCUUUGAAUCAGAUCAGUUUGGAGGACUGAAGAUUCUUUUUUUUUUUCCUGAGUGAUCCGAAAAUGGAAAUCUGAAUAAUUUCCAUGAUAAUAGUGAAAAGCUCCAGAACUUAGAAAGUGGACCUUUAGUUUGAUGCUUUUUUCAAGGGCAAGCUUGAACUUUCAAUUUCAACUGAUGCAAAUACAGGCUACAAUAUUAAAGACUGUAGGUUAUAAAACUUGUGCACAUCUGCAAUUACAGUCAAUCUGAAACACAUUAUUGAACGUGCAGGAUGAUCUUUUCCCACUUGUACCACAAUCGCUUUGACCUUUCAAUAUAAAUUAAGGUCUUUUAAAUGAACAAAUGCAUUCUGCCAUCACAUAGAGGCCAUUUUUAAAAACCAAAAUACACCAAGAAACAUAGCUGGUACACACGGCAUGCAUGAGUCGUCUACGUGUUUCAGCAUGACCUGGAACACAAAGUGCCCCAGAUGCAUAGGACAUGCAAGCACAUAUGUUGGACGAGCUCAUUCGGCCUAUACGUGGGGGUCUGUGUGCUUCACAUGCACAGUGACAUGCUUUGUGUGUGCUGUAGGGCUCUGAGUGCCCCACCCCCCUCCCCUAUACAACAUGUUACCGGCUUCCUAUAAAGACUACAGCUUGAACACAGCGUAUUACUUUAACCUCCUCAGACCGAGCGGCCUCCCAAAAAAAACUGCCCCAAACCUCACAGCAGCUGCAGGUCUUGAGAGCCGCCCCAGCUCUUCCCUCCAACCCAUCUAACACGACAUCUGUAGACAUGAUCAUCAGACUGGGCAGGCUGACACCUGGAUACUUCCGCCUCCUCCAGAGGCAAGUUGCUGGUGAGGUGCAGACGCAGCCACAGGACCGUGCUGUCAACCAGAUAGCCAUGAUGCUGGCCAUCAUGGGCCUGAGUUUGUCCUACUAUAGUGCCAGACAGAUGACGGAGAAGGUCCAGGCCCAGCCUGCGCCCUGAAGAGACUACUGGACUACUCUGACCGUGCUGAUAAUGGAUGAGCCAAUGAGAAGUGAAGGAGUUGGAGCGAGGAAGCAGGAAGCACAACAGUGUCUUCCAUGACUGCACUUUUCUCACCUCACAGUCAUAGUCACACUCAGACAAUGAAUUUCUGGUAUCCCUCACUCACUGUGCGCAGAGAUUUCAAGGCUGCUGCUAAGUGUUUUCUGUACUUUCUGUUGUCGGGACCUUGAGGGAUUUGUGGGGAUGGCUCACUCGGGGGUUGUGGAUAGGGCUGGGUUUAUGUGACUGGUUUGGGUGGGUGAUCAAAACCAGCCGAGUGCCAACUGGGUCUGACCAUUAGUCAUUACAAAGGUACAUGCUUGCAAGAUGCCGUCAAUGCUGUUCAGAGGAACAAAAAUAAAGGGGGGGGGGGGGCUCUUAAACAAGUUUUUGCCAGUGCUCAAAGCGUGGCCAAACUGGGUUAAAUAUGAACUGUAAUGCCUUUUUAAGGGAAGGCUGACUGCAAUUGAGAUGUACCUUGUAUUGAAGUGAUGAUGGGCCCAGAACAUGGUCAAAGGGGAUGAAAAGUUAGCUCAACCCAUUUUAGGUUUUCUGUAUAUUUUUUUUUUUUUUUUUUUUUUUUUUUUUUCUCGCAGAGCCUGUGAACAGACCAGGAGCUGAACUCACAUACUGUCAAUAUAUAUACUGCGAAAUGUAUCUGUCAGCUGUCCAGAGAUCGAGUGAAGAAUAUUUGCACAAAACUUAAAUAUUUUUAAAUACUACAAUAGAUCUGCAAAGGGACUUAAAGAUACUACUCACUUUUUUUUUUUUUCUCAUUUUUGAUGGUGUCUUUUUUUUCUGUGACUUCACACUGUUUAACAUUAAGAGUUUAAAGUCCUGUUAAUAAGAUGUGACGACCUAGAUAAGCACCCUGGUUAAGAACCCUUCCUGCAGUAUCAACUACAUGUUAAUGCAAACAUUUAACUUUACUGAACAUUGCAUGUGUGUGCAGACUUUUAAUCAUAAUUCAUGAGUCUGUCUUUUUAUUGAUGAAUGAAUGAAUUAAUGUAUUACUUUAUUUUGUAAUGAUUUAAUAAAGCUGUGAAUAUUUUGAACGAACAGUGGAUGUUUAGUAUUGAAAACCAUCCAGAACAAUCCAAAGCUCAUAUUGUUUUUCUUUGCAGAGACAGAGUUAAGUAAGAACAGUCCUGAGAUUGGAAGCUGCAGAGCUUCAGUAUUUCCUGUAUCGGAGAAUCUGUGGUGUCAUCUGCACGCGACAGGAAGUGGUCAGGCUGUAACACACGUUAUGUCUCUCC